rnacentral:rRNA from 1 species
GGGGAAUAUUGGACAAUGGGCGAAAGCCUGAUCCAGCCAUGCCGCGUGUGUGAAGAAGGUCUUCGGAUUGUAAAGCACUUUAGGUUGGGAGGAAGGGCUGCUGGUUAAUACCCUGCAGUUUUGACGUUACCAACAGAAUAAGCACCGGCUAACUUCGUGCCAGCAGCCGCGGUAAUACGAAGGGUGCAAGCGUUAAUCGGAAUUACUGGGCGUAAAGCGCGCGUAGGUGGUUUUGUAAGUUGGAUGUGAAAGCCCCGGGCUCAACCUGGGAACUGCAUCCAAAACUGCAUGACUAGAGUACGGUAGAGGGUGGUGGAAUUUCCUGUGUAGCGGUGAAAUGCGUAGAUAUAGGAAGGAACACCAGUGGCGAAGGCGACCACCUGGACUGAUACUGACACUGAGGUGCGAAAGCGUGGGGAGCAAAC